rnacentral:lncRNA from 1 species
AUGCACGACUGGAAAACAACACCACUUUUCAAAAGCCCUUUCAAGAGCGGCCCGUUCCAGAAGGCAAAGAGCCCGGCCUCCUUUUAUUAUUCUGAUCGCUUCUUUGAGGCGCUCCCCCUCCUCUUCCACCUCCCGGCUUUCUUUCCUUCUCUCGCACUCCCUUUCUUUUAUUAUUAUGAUUAUGCGCAGCCUUUUAUUCCCUUUCAGAUCAGCUGCAUAGAAAGGAGGGAGGGAGGGGAGGGAAAAAAAAAAAAAAAACCGAGCCCAGCUCGCGGGCCGGCCGCAGGUAACACAAUGACGCGUGCCCGCCCGGCUCUCGGAGAGGGACUCGGAGAGCCCGUCUGGGAGCCGCGGCUGGGGCUGGCCACCUCUACCCAGCGCGCCGGGCAGGCGCAUGCGCGCUUAUUAAUAUUCAUGAGGGGGCGUGUCCAACCAGACCACGCCCCCUCUCCUCCGGGUUGGCGGGGAGGGGGAGUACUGGGAGGAACUUGGAAGGGCUUGGGGGUCGGGGACACGCAGGCCGGCGUAGACGACGGGGGGGGUCAAGCGCAGACCCCCGCCUUCCGGAGCAUGGGCCCAGCGGCAAGGCAGGGAGGGCGCGGGAGGAACUUGGAAGUGUCAGUUGCUCGGGGACGCCCGCGGCCCCCCGCGUGGACCGCCCCCUCGGGCGCCUUGGCCCAGGCGCCUGUGCCCGGCCGUCGGGGCUCCAGGUGUAGGCACCGCGAGGCUGCCCGAGCGGUCGGAGCGGGGCAGCUUCCGCCUUCCGAGCCGCCUGCGUCAGCUGCGGCUCUCGCCCUGGGAGGAGGGCCUGCCCGCCGGGAUCCCGGCCCGCUUGCCGCGAGCGAGCGCGCUGCUGGCGGCGGAGGCGGCGGUGGCGGCGGGGAGGCUGGCGCGCUUGCCCCCGUCUGCUCGGCCGGCCGAGGCGACCGGGGCAGGCGCUGCUGGGAACUUGGAAAACUUUCCCGGAGCCGGGCUUGCCGCAGACUGGAGGGGAAGCCUCGGCCGCGCCCCACCCCCGCCCCGAGCCCGCGGAGCCUCGAGGGCUCCCAGCUUCCUCUCCAAACCACGCCAGGGCCGAGGCGAGGAGAAGCCGGGGGGACGGGGCGGCGGCACUCAGGGGCCCUGCCCGGGCGUUGGGAGGGCAGGCCGAGAGGCCGGUGGGCUUGGGCUCGCCCCUUGCCCGUCCUGCUGCCCGAGCCGCAGUGCCGGGAUUGCACCUGUAGGCGGCCUCCGAGCAGCUCUCUGGGUGGCGAGAGGAGCCUGGAAGGGACCGUCUCACCGCCAUCGCCAGGCAGCAGAACUUGGCCUCUCUGGGGUGGCAGUAGAAACGGAUGCUAUUUCCACCUUGAGGCCAGCCUUGCAAUGAACAGCGACACUCCUGGUCAUAACCAAGGUCAAAGGAACCCUUCGGACUGGUAG